AAUUUUCUGUUGAAGUUUUCAUAACAAAUUUACACCCACAUGUAUACAUUUUCUUACAAAAAAAUAUAUGCAUCACAUCUUUUGUACAUGCACCAAAAGAGAAAAAAGAUAAGAUCAAUUGAGAAAAGAAUUGGGAAACGAGACAAAUCUACAUGUAUAUUACUUAUAAAUAUUUAUCACUAUCCCCAAUCUCAUAUUUAAGUUCAACCAAAGAUAAAAGAGAAAAUACAAAGAAGAUGACCAUAAACAACUAAGAAAAGAAAAUGACAACAAGAGGAAUGAGAACAAUGCCUGGCUUUUCCCAUGUACGCCGCUAAAAAACCAUAUCUCCGGCGAAUUCUUCACCGAAGACAAGUUUCUUGUAAGCUUCGAGUCUUCAAAGUGUUUUCCAAAACAACUACCAAGUAAUUAUCUACAUCUUGAUGUUGCUUCUUUCUUUCCAUGGUGUGAGGCUGUUAGCUUUGUACAAGUGAAAGAGGUUGAAGAAGAAGAGAAGAGAAGAGAAGAGAAGAGAAGAGAGGAAGAGUUGUAAAUGGUUGAAAUGGGGAGAGAGAAUAUAAAAAGGUGAGAGAGAGAGAGAGGGUUCCCAAGAAGA
rnacentral:lncRNA from 1 species